GAUGAACGCUGGCGGCGUGCUUAACACAUGCAAGUCGAACGGACAGGCCCUGCUCUUGUGUGGUGCUCGAGUGGCGAACGGGUGAGUAACACGUGAGUAACCUGCACUUGACUUUGGGAUAACUUCAGGAAACUGGGGAUCAUACCGGAUAGGAGAUCCUGAUGCAUGGUGGGGGUUGGAAAGAUUCGGCGGUUGGGGCUGGACUCGCGGGUUAUCAGCUUGUUGGUGAAGUAGUGGCUUACCAGGGCUUUGACGGAUAGCCGGCCUGAGAGGGUGACCGGCCACAAUGGGACUAGGAUACGGCCCAGACGCCUACGUUAGGCAACAGUGGGGAACAUGCCACAACAGGCGGGAGCCUGAUACAGCAACGCCGCGUGCGGGAUAACCGCCUACGGGUUGUAAACCUCUUUCGCCUGUGACGAAGCGUGAGUGACGGUAAUUGGUAAGAAAGCACCGGCUAACUACGUG
rnacentral:rRNA from 1 species